UGAACAUGAGGAGAGGGUUGGAAAACGAUGUAGAAUCUAAUCUAACCUUACCUAACAGAGUGGUAGUGGCGCAGCGUGCGCGCCUCAGUGCGCUUGCGUGGCCUCAGCUUCGCUUAAACUUUUCCGGCAAUUUAAGCAAUUAGGAAGGAAAGCGGAAACGGGAUUAACUAAUGCGUUCGAUUCUUAUUGUAUAACCAUUACUUUUGUGCGAAAGUGCUCCAGCCGCCGAAAGAAUCUCACGUGCAAGCUUUCUUACGGGAUUUGUCGAUGGGAUAAAGUUAAACGGUUCUACGGUCAAUGAGUUUGAACUUUCUUGGUUUUACCAGGAUAAUUAUUUGGUUCUUCUAUUAGCAGUACCAUUACAGAUGAAGCACAAAAUUGACCUGGCAUCUUACGGGACUCUGUGUCUCAUGUUCUGAAAUACCGAUCGACCAAACAAAUUGCGAGGGUGCUAACCGUCUGUGGCUAAAGCAUUGACAAAGAACAGAAUAUACGUGACAUCACUGACGAAGUCUCCGUGCAGAUGAGAGGCAUUUUACCGCGCAAUCCCUUUGCGAUCUGUUAUAUCUGCCAUUGUUGUUCUUAAUAGGAAAACGAAGAAAGACAUAUGAUAGCAACGAUAUCGAGCGGACAAGAGUGAUUUGCGGCAGAUCGCCGCAGCGAAAGCGGGUUGGAAGAACAAGAAAAUGCGUAUAACAACGACUGGUGUCAGUGUGUAUAUUUGAUUCAAUAAGAAUAGAAAGGGUCUCUGCGCAGUGUUCUUUUUCGAUUCCCAUAUCGCACCCACUUACACGGUCUCACUCGUACCCUCUACCAUUUUUGUGUUACAUGCGUCACUAUCAAUUCAAUAUAGUAUAGUGAUUUGAAUUAAAGGUAAAGUUUUCUAUGAAAUUACAAAUAGAAUACGAAUUAGGAUAUGGUGUAAUUGUAAACGAAGUAUGGAAUUUUACACUUCUACAUACUUCUACCUAAAAAACUCGCAACACAAUUUAUGGAUAACUCAAAUAGAUAAGUUGCGCAUAAACGAAAAGGGCAAAAGAAUCAUCGACAACUUGCUUGUGUGGAUAAAGGUAUCGAUCAAGUACUUCAAUCUUCAUAAAUAUACUAAAACUAAGGCUUAAAACUAACGAAACAAAUUAAAAGUAAGAUUUGAAAGUAAUACUUAAGACCAAGGUUAAAAUUUAUACUUAAAACAAAAAGUAAGUCCCCCGUUGCCUCACGCCGUCCAACAAUCAGGCUUAAGAUUAACAUAAUUUAGAUCUUAGAAUUAAAACCUAUUUAAAUGUAAAACUAAACUAAAAAUAGAUAUCAGAUAGAUAUCAAUCUAGUGUACAUUAGAACGUGGCCAUACUGGCAGCUUUUCAUAUCAAAGACUUUAACUUAGAACGAAAUUUAAGAAAUUAAACUAUAUAAUACAGGUACCCCAGGAUGUCCCUGCAAUAUCUCACGGUGUUCUACAACUGGUGCUAAUAAUUUAUUAACGAAUAUCUAUUGUAUGAUUAAUUAAAAUUAUGACGCACGCAUUGCACGUUGUACGCUUUUAAGUUGAGAAUCAAAACUAAUACUUAAACUUAAAACUUAAAAGGACGCAUACAUUACGCAACAUCUAUCUCCCACGCUACGUUAUAAAAGCAUUGUGCAAUAAUCCGCUGACAGCAUUCGGUAUCACAAGAGACCUCCAAGUUCCAACGGGGAAUUCCAGGGAAUUCGAAACUUACACGAUCCACUGUCGAAGCUGCCGACUGAUGAUAUUACGGUAGAUUAGUUAAGGAUCGAGGUAAUAUAAAGAAGAGCAAACAUUAAAAAUUUUCAGGUAUUUAUUAAAUAUGGCAAAAUUUUGACUUUGCCUUCGUGUACACAUAGAAGUAUGACACACUCCAACUAAACAAGUGAAACUUCCGAUAGGAGGAACCACCAAAUAGGAUUACGAAGCACUAGUCCUCGACUGAACAAGUGGGGUUCACUCCCGGUGGGAUGAACUACUGAACAGGAUUACGAAGGACAUCAAAUUACUGGUCUUAACCCUGUCCGAGUACCGAAGCACCAAUCGGGUAGGAUCCUCAAUUGGACUCUGUAAGCACCAUGGUCGUGAUGAGAACUCCCGCGACUCGAUGCAAACCGCGAAUAGUCAUUGAACAGUCAUCUAGAUAAGGGGAUCCUUGGAGCGAUUUAUGAAUACAAGAGGUUGUCAAGUGCAUGCUGAUUCGUUCAUAUCUGAAAUACUCACGAGCGAAAUACAUACUUACUCACAAAUAAUUCAAAGGAAUUGAGCGAUUGCGAACCCAUAAAUCGCAAAAUCCACUUAUGUGAUAAAUGCAUGAGGCAAGACAGAAGAGAUUUUUAUGUUUUGUUCCAAAUUAAAUAAGCGUACGAUUGUACGGAAUGGACUCACGAUGAACUUAACAUAUGUAUCUAUCUUAUGAUUAACUAAAGCUAAAACACACGCAUCUUGUGAUGUUCCCGAGAUAUCGCACGAUUUCCCAUGGCAUCUCCGAGAGAGACUGUUUGUGAUCGUGCGCGGUGCGGUCAGUGGAGUCAGUGUCUACACAUUAGCUCUAAUUAAUUGUAUCGUAAAUACAAUUAGGGUCACAGUUAAUUGUAUCUACAAUAUAUUGUAUGAAAAAUACAAUUCAUUCGCGAAAUUACAGUCAGUGUUUGUUCGUCGAUUAUAAUUCAAAUGGUCGCGUUAGUAGUAGUCUUUUAUUUUUGUUUUUAAAUAAUUCAUAAUAUAUAGCUUUUUAAGUAUUCGUUCUCUCAGAAACUCAAAACCUCUCUCAAAAGGAUCCAUCCCCUGCAUAACUUAAAAAUGACUUUUCACAACCUCCACAUCUACGAUAAAGUUCGAUGCUUUGAUGGCGGUUUCUUCUGGGCCACAGCAACAUGGAUAACAACGUUCUCCGCAUCUAAUCCGAUGCAAGAUAGUAACUGUAGAAAAUGGAAAAUGAGGAUAGAGUGGCAACUAAACAGCAAUACGCGGCAAGAAGAAUCGUUCCCAAAAAGGCGGGUGACCGUUAAGGUCCGCGACCUCUGGAAUGAACCUUCGACUGGAAUCAUGGAUAUUCGUACGGAGCUUUUGUGACAGUACCGCCGCCAGUAUUCGUGACUGUUUUAACGACACCUUAACCAGAGGACAAAAAGUUGUCCAACAAGCGUACAACGAAUCGCAUUCAACACUAUCCACACGCCACACGCAAAGUUCAAAGAAACUCGCAACAUCAUGUACCACUUCAAAGUAAUGUGUUAAAAGCGGCAAAAAGCGUUCGAACCGUUAAGCGAAAAAUGGUACAGCACGAGUUCUACGUUUUAUAAAUGACAUAGUUAUUCUAUUUUUUUAUUAUCAUAUUCCUCGUAUAGACGAUCAUACAUAAGUAUUUAGGCACUUGCAAAUUAAUAUCUAGCAAAAAAAUAUAGUAACUGUAUUAUAUAGCAAUUAAGUUAAAAAAAUAUAUAGAAUGUAUAGUAAUAAGCAAAUGUACAUAAAAUGUCCGAACUAGAGUAGUCUCUAUG